UGUUUGGUUUUUUGGUGAUCUGCCUCUGAGGCGGUGAAAUUUCCCUCUCAAAAUUCCCUAUUUUCUUUCCAGGAUAGGUAAAUCCCCUCAUCAGAUCUCCCCUCAUCAAUCUCCACGAUUUUCACUCUUGCACACCCUUCUCUCACAAUUCAUAGGAAAGAGAGAAUGAUCGCGAAUGGAAUCGAAGACGAGGACAAAUGGUUGACCGAAGGCAUCGCAAGGAUUCAACACAAUUGCUUUCUAUAUGCAUCGCGCAUUGGACUCCAACAAUCUUAGAGAAGCCCUAUAAUAUUCGGUGCAAAUGUUGUCUGAGCUCUGAACAUCUAGACUAUCUCCACACGAACACUUUGAACUCUAUAUGUAAGCCUUUGAUGAAUUGAGAAGACUUGAAAUCUUCUUUAAAGAGGAAGAUAAACAUGGUUGUACGGUCUCUGACCUCUAUGAACUCGUCCAGCAUGCUGGAAACAUUUUACCCAGAUUAUCAGAAAAAUAAAUUAGAAGCAGAAAACCAAGGGCUGCUUCUGAAUUUUGGUUCACAGCUUGAUUAGAGCUUAAAAGACUUGCACAAGACCAUCUCGGGGUCAGUUUCUCAA